rnacentral:rRNA from 1 species
UACGUAGGGUGCAAGCGUUGUCCGGAAUUAUUGGGCGUAAAGAGCUCGUAGGCGGCUCGUCACGUCGGCUGUGAAAACCCGGGGCUCAACCCCGGGCCUGCAGUCGAUACGGGCGAGCUAGAGUUCGGCAGGGGAGACUGGAAUUCCUGGUGUAGCGGUGAAAUGCGCAGAUAUCAGGAGGAACACCGGUGGCGAAGGCGGGUCUCUGGGCCGAUACUGACGCUGAGGAGCGAAAGCGUGGGGAGCAAACAGG